rnacentral:rRNA from 1 species
GCAGUCGCCGCGGUAAUACAGAGGGUGCGAGCGUUAAUCGGAUUUACUGGGCGUAAAGCGUGCGUAGGCGGCUUCUUAAGUCGGAUGUGAAAUCCCUGAGCUUAACUUAGGAAUUGCAUUCGAUACUGGGAAGCUAGAGUAUGGGAGAGGAUGGUAGAAUUCCAGGUGUAGCGGUGAAAUGCGUAGAGAUCUGGAGGAAUACCGAUGGCGAAGGCAGCCAUCUGGCCUAAUACUGACGCUGAGGUACGAAAGCAUGGGGAGCAAACAGGAUUAGAGACCCCCGUAGUCCCUGUCUCUUAUAC